rnacentral:rRNA from 1 species
GAUGAACGCUGACAGAAUGCUUAACACAUGCAAGUCUUUGGCGAAGCUGUGCUUGCACCGCCUAGCCAAGGCGGACGGGUGAGUAACGCGUAAGGAACUUGCCCUGCAGUCAGGGAUAACAGACGGAAACGACUGAUAAGACCUGGUAAAGUCAGGCGGACUCAUGUCCAGCCUGAUGAAAAGAGAUGCUGCAGGAGAGCCUUGCGUCCUAUUAGCUUGUUGGUGGGGUAACGGCCCACCAAGGCGAUGAUAGGUAGCCGGCCUGAGAGGGCGGACGGCCACAAGGGGACUGAGAUACGGCCCUUACUCCUACGGGAGGCAGCAGUGGGGAAUAUUGGACAAUGGGGGCAACCCUGAUCCAGCAAUUCUGUGUGCACGAUGAAGGUUUUCGGAUUGUAAAGUGCUUUCAGCAGGGAAGAAAAAAUGACGGUACCUGCAGAAGAAGCGACGGCUAAAUACGUG